rnacentral:rRNA from 1 species
CAGAAGAAGCGCCGGCUAACUACGUGCCAGCAGCCGAGGUAAUACGUAGGGCGCGUAGCGUUAUCCGGAAUUAUUGUGGCGUAAAGGGCUCGCAGGCGGUUUGCCACGUCUGUGUGAAAGCCCGGGGCUUAACUCCGGGUUGCAGUGGUACGGGUAGACUAGAGUGCAGUAGGGGAGACUGGAAUUCCUGGUGUAGCGGUGAAAUGCGCAGAUAUCAAGAAGAACACCGAUGGCGAAGGCAGGUCUCUGGGCUGUUUACUGACGCUGAGGAGCGAAAGCAUGGGGAGCGAACAGGAUUAGAUACCCUGGUAGUCCAUGCCGUAAACGUUGGGCACUAGGUGUGGGGAACAUUCCACGUUUUCCGCGCCGUAGCUAACGCAUUAAGUGCCCCGCCUGGGGAGUACGGCCGCAAGGCUAAAACUCAAAGGAAUUGACGGGGGCCCGCACAAGCGGCGGAGCAUGCGGAUUAAUUCGAUGCAACGCGAAGAACCUUACCAAGGCUUGACAUGGACCGGAUCGCUGCAGAGAUGUAGUUUCCCUUCGGGGCUGGUUCACAGGUGGUGCAUGGUUGUCGUCAGCUCGUGUCGUGAGAUGUUGGGUUAAGUCCCGCAACGAGCGCAACCCUUGUCCUAUGUUGCCAGCACGUAGUGGUGGGGACUCAUGGGAGACUGCCGGGGUCAACUCGGAGGAAGGUGGGGAUGACGUCAAAUCAUCAUGCCCCUUAUGUCUUGGGCUUCACGCAUGCUACAAUGGCCGGUACAGUGGGUUGCGAUACUGUGAGGUGGAGCUAAUCCCUAAAAGCCGGUCUCAGUUCGGAUCGAAGUCUGCAACUCGACUUCGUGAAGUUGGAGUCGCUAGUAAUCGCAGAUCAGCAAUGCUGCGGUGAAUACGUUCCCGGGCCUUGUACACACUGUCCGUCAAGUCACGAAAGUCU